rnacentral:rRNA from 1 species
AGUGAACGCUGGCGGCAGGCCUAAUACAUGCAAGUCGAACGGCAGCACGGCAGAGCUUGCUCUGUGGGUGGCGAGUGGCGGACGGGUGAGGAAUACAUGGGAAUCUGCCCAGUCGUGGGGGAUAACGUAGGGAAACUUACGCUAAUACCGCAUGCGCCCUUCGGGGGAAAGCCGGGGACCUUCGGGCCUGGCGCGAUUGGAUGAGCCCAUGUCGGAUUAGCUAGUUGGCGGGGUAAUGGCCCACCAAGGCGACGAUCCGUAGCUGGUCUGAGAGGAUGAUCAGCCACACUGGAACUGAGACACGGUCCAGACUCCUACGGGAGGCAGCAGUAGGGAAUAUCGGACAAUGGGCGCAAGCCUGAUCCAGCCAUGCCGCGUGAGUGAAGAAGGCCCUCGGGUUGUAAAGCUCUUUUGUCCGGAAAGAAAAGCGCCGGGUUAAUACCCUGGUGUCCUGACGGUACCGGAAGAAUAAGCACCGGCUAACUUCGUG